rnacentral:rRNA from 1 species
AAUGAACGCUGGCGGCAUGCCUAACACAUGCAAGUCGAACGAAGGCUUCGGCCUUAGUGGCGCACGGGUGCGCAACGCGUGGGAAUCUGCCCUUGGGUUCGGAAUAACUCAGAGAAAUUUGAGCUAAUACCGGAUGAUGUCGUAAGACCAAAGAUUUAUCGCCCAAGGAUGAGCCCGCGUAGGAUUAGCUAGUUGGUGAGGUAAAGGCUAACCAAGGCGACGAUCCUUAGCUGGUCUGAGAGGAUGAUCAGCCACACUGGGACUGAGACACGGCCCAGACUCCUACGGGAGGCAGCAGUGGGGAAUAUUGGACAAUGGGCGAAAGCCUGAUCCAGCAAUGCCGCGUGAGUGAUGAAGGCCUUAGGGUUGUAAAGCUCUUUUACCCGGGAUGAUAAUGACAGUACCGGGAGAAUAAGCUCCGGCUAACUUCGUGCCAGCCGCCGCAGUAACAC